GGUGAGGUGGCCUAGGGGUUCAUGGCGUUAGCCGCGAUAGCUAAUAAAGACGCCGGUUCGAAUCCGGCCUUCACCA